rnacentral:lncRNA from 1 species
CAGCUGCCUCUCAAAGGCCUGAACAGGACACACGGGCAGCUCAAGAGGAGGAGUUAGAGUCCCUCCGGGAGCAGCUGGCGAGUGUGAACCACAACAUUGAAGAGGUUGAAGCUAACAUGAAGAGCCUGGGAAUGAACCUUGUGCAGGUGAGGGACUGACUGGGAGAGGGACUGGAUCAGGUCAGAACUGGGACCUUGAGAGAUGAUCUGGCAUCUAGAGGUGUAUGGAUGCCAUACUUGUUUAUGGAGCAUCUUGGAGACCUCUGAUAUUCUUGAGGGCUCAAGAGAACAUGUGAGGCGAAGAAACAUGUUGGAUUGAUGACUUGCUAGACCUAUAGAUCUGUUAGGGGUGCAUUUGGUAUCAGUCAGGCUUUGUGGGGGGCGUAGAAGCGAUGGGCAUCAGGGGAACAAGGUGGGUGUGUCGGGGCAGGGCCUUGCAGGGCUUCUCAGAGCUUCUGGCUGUCAGUAUGGAGCUGAAGAUCCAGAGGCCUGUAGUAGGUAGAGGCCUUGGAGUUCUCUGUGAGGUCUUGAGCUGGGCCAGGGUCAUAAUGGGCUCAUCGGGUUGUGGGCUGUGAGUAUGACUGGGAGCUUGGCUGUGAGUGUACCAGGUGGAAACUGAGUGUCGACAAAGUGAACUCAGCGUGGCUGAGCAGGAGCAAGCCCUGCGCCUGAAGAGCAGGACGGUGGAGCUGCUGCCUGAUGGGGCUGCCAACCUCACCAAGCUGCAGGUGGGCUAGGAUUGGGGCUGGGCCGAGAGGGGUGGGCGAAUGGAUCCAGCCUGUCUUGACACAUCACCCUGGCUCCUGCCAGCUUGUGGUGGAGAGUAGUGCUCAGAGGCUCAUUCAUCUAGCAAGUCAGUGGGAGAAGCACCGGGUCCCACUUCUUGCUGAGUAUCGCCACCUCAGGAAACUCCAGGAUUGUAGGGAGCUGGAAUCAUCUCGAAGACUGGUAGAAAUCCAGGAGCUGCACCAGAGUGUGCGAGCGGCUGCAGAAGAGGCUCGCAGGAAGGAGGAGGUCUAUAAGCAGUUGGUAUCAGAGCUGGAAACCCUGCCAAAAGAUGUAUCCCGCCUGGCCUAUACCCAGCGCAUCCUGGAGAUUGUGGGCAACAUCCGGAAGCAGAAGGAAGAGAUCACUAAA